rnacentral:rRNA from 1 species
UGCGAUCAUACCAGCACUAAUGCACCGGAUCCCAUCGAAACUCCAUGAUUAAGCGUGCUUGGGCAGAGUAGUACUAGGAUGGGUGACCCCUGAGAAGUCCUCGUGUUGCA